rnacentral:rRNA from 1 species
ACGCACGCUGGCGGCGUGCUUAACACCUGCAAGUCGAACGGUGAAGCGCCUUCCUUUUUGGUGGGUGUGGAUGAGUGGCGAACGGGUGAGUAACACGUGAGUAACCUGCCCCCUUCUUCUGGAUAACCGCAUGAAAGUGUGGCUAAUACGGGAUAUUCUGGGUCUGUCGCAUGAUGGGUCUGGGAAAGAUAUUGUUUCGGUGGGGGAUGGGCUCGCGGCCUAUCAGCUUGUUGGUGGGGUGAUGGCCUACCAAGGCGGUGACGGGUAGCCGGCCUGAGAGGGUGGACGGUCACACUGGGACUGAGACACGGCCCAGACUCCUACGGGAGGCAGCAGUGGGGAAUAUUGCACAAUGGGCGCAAGCCUGAUGCAGCGACGCCGCGUGAGGGAUGGAGGCCUUCGGGUUGUGAACCUCUUUCGCCAGUGAAGCAGGCCUGCCUCGUUUGUGGGUGGGUUGACGGUAGCUGGAGAAGAAGCGCCGGCUAACUACGUG